AUGAAGAAAAGUCUAACAAUGCAAGUUUUAUUCUUUUCUCCUCAGCUUGUUGUGGUCGAGGAGGAGCAAACCCAAAAAUCUCAUGCUCCAACGCCUUCGCCAAUAACCAGCGCAAACCCAAAUUCAGCUUCUUCCUUUAAUAUUUCUAGCACCAUUCUUGAUCAAGGAGGCAUAGAGAAUAUUAAGGAGAAGAACCUUGCAGAAGCUUUCAAAAUAAUCAUGGGAAGUCGAGGGACUCCGACCGAAAAAUAUCCCAACUCUUAA